rnacentral:sRNA from 1 species
UCAUAACCCUACUGCCUUAAACAUUUGC